UACGAAGGGGGCUAGCGUUGUUCGGAUUUACUGGGCGUAAAGCGCACGUAGGCGGAUAUUUAAGUCAGGGGUGAAAUCCCGGGGCUCAACCCCGGAACUGCCUUUGAUACUGGGUAUCUUUGAGUCCGGAAGAGGUGAGUGGAAUUCCGAGUGUAGAGGUGAAAUUCGUAGAUAUUCGGAGGAACACCAGUGGCGAAGGCGGCUCACUGGUCCGGUACUGACGCUGAGGUGCGAAAGCGUGGGGAGCAAACAGG
rnacentral:rRNA from 1 species